CCUUCAUAGUUCACGAGAACGUUUCGAUUGAUGUUGAGCGGCUAUCGAGCAGAGCGAUUCGAUGUGAGUUGAGUCAUGAAGUCUACUGGCCAGUCACUUGGAAAUGGUUCACGAAUGGAAGCAGUGCACUUGAAGAACCGGCUAGCGAGCAACCCCUCCUGACCAGCCACGGGUUGUCGUCACUGCUCCAGCUCUCGCACAAACAAGUACACGACCUUCGCGAGGCCCAGGGCAGCGUGCUGUGCCGAUCUCAGUGGAGAGACUGGAAUGGCAGAAUGAGAGACGCUGAGGCCGUGGCUUUUGUACCUUCAGAGGAGGAGCCUUCGUCGGAUCCAAACAUCACUCUAGGCGUGCGGCUGAACCACACUGACGAUGGUCUCGUCAUGCAGUGCUACUUGGAUGCACGACUACCCGCAGCAGACAGCGGUGACGUGCAGUGGCGCUGGAGGAGCACGGCCAGUGAGGUGGUGAGUGCAGGCCUGCGCUGGUCCAGCACGCUGUUCAUGUCCACCACACAGCUCAACGUGCUCCUGGCGCUCUCGCGUAACGUCACCUGCUCGGUGUCCUGGUUGGACACUGAUGGAUUCCGACACUGGCGAACAAAGAUUGCCUAUCACCC